UUGUGUUGGAAACAACAGCCUGCGUCUAAUAGACAAACUCUUCCAGACUCCAUGGAAGCGGCUGACUCACCGUGCAGCGCAGACCCCAUCGAGGCCAUCAUGCAGUUCGCCGCUGGAGCUCUGACUGGUGACACCGUCCACAUCCUCUUGUGAACCAGUUGAAGCUUGUACUUCUACGCCUCCUCUGCGCAGUUUUGCGUCGAGAACGAAAGACAUCAUAAGGCGUCUCCAAGCCAAGGUUUCAAAGUACCGGAAGACCAUCGCAAGGCUGCGCAAGCAAGAGAAGAAUAUGCCUCGAUCAGCUUCGGAAGCUCUCGACAUCAUUCGCCCUCACGUGACAAGACGAGUUAUUUCACCUACUGUCAAGCCAUGUUAAAUUAAGAUCCAAGGGCAAGAGAAAACGAUUCCCAUUAUGGUUGAAAAAGUUUGCUCUUCAUCUCAAAUUCCGUGAACCGCGGAAUUUGAGGUGUUUUGCAGGAUUCGAUUAUGAUGAAAAAUGUUUUGCAGGAUUCAAUUGUGCUGACAUGUCCGUUUCGUAAAUAGAAACUUGGAUAAAGUUUGCUUUCAUUCUUGCGUCUUUGGUGUACAGCUUGAAAAGUUCAGUGGGUAGGACUUCAUUCUAGAGAUGUGUUUCAGCCCUUAUGUUGCGUUUCAUAAGAUACCUGCAAGAGUAAAAUUAAUAUUAUUGGGAUUUUAUUGGGCCGUGCAUACUGCACACUAGGCAUUUGUUGGGAUUAUUUGCAGCAAGUAGGUUGCACUCUACUGGUCUACUGUAGUGACUGCUUUUUUAGAUGGUCGUGUCUGUGUUUUUCUAGUAUGGCCAUGUGGAAUGUGUAAGUUCCCAUUUUGAUCUUUUUUAAUACUCUCCGAGGUCUUUCAUCUUGGAUGCAACUUCCUUUUCUUUUGGACAUUGUUUCUGCUUUACACAUAUGUGAAGCGUGAAGGAGAUUGAGAUCAGAGUGUCUACCAACCUGGGCAAGCCUGAAGUUGUCAGGGAAUUUUAGAUCACCUGGAAAAGUCAAGGAAUUAUCAGGGAAACUCUCAAAAGGUUGACUAAAUCAGGGAAAGUGACCGGUGAAAGUGGCACGGUGGUGCAAAACGAAGCCCGGCGAUCAAGUGUCGCCACAGCUGUGCUGAAUAACAUUGCCCAAAAUGUUAUCCUUCGAAGAAAGAAACAGCCAAGGAUAUUUAUCAAAAUAGUCAAGGAAAACCUUGAAAAAUCAUGGACUUUGGAAAAAGUCAUCUGGUAGACACCCUGUAGGAUGUACUUAAUUAGGCAGUGCAGAUUGCAUGCCAAGCCUUUGCUGGAAUCAUUUGUGAUGAGUGGGUCGCAAGUACACCGGUCACCAGUCUGCUUGUAGCAGUCUUUUGUCAGCCAUUUCAUGUGUGCUUUUUAUGGCAGUGGUUAUGUUAAACCUUACAUGUUAAAUGUGAGAUGUUAAACGUGACAUGAACAUAAAACUUGUAUUAGUCCGUCGGUUGACUUUCAGUUCUUGUUAUUUUGGUCAUUAUUGUUACUUAAAUCAGCAGGAGCAAGGUAUGUUUAAUUGUGCGCUGCAUGCUGUGUUAGGGUUAUUUAAUGACUAUGUCACAGACUAAAUAGGUCUAUACUAGUGGCAAUCUCAUUUAGGCAUUUACUUGUCUGUUUUUGUUUUUCUUUUCUCAUUGUGGUCAUCGUGCAUCUCACAAUUCUUCUGCUGAACUUUUUAUUAGCAUACAAAAUGCAUUGGAUCAACGAGCUCUGAUACUGCAUGGCCAUUUUUUUUGUGUGUGUUUGUUGCUGAUGCUGCAUAUGUUAUAUGUGUGUGCCCCUUCCAUGGAACUUGCUUGAGAAUUCAAAACCGGCUUUCAAUCCAAUUGCAGUUGUAAUUUCAGUUGUUUGAUAAUACUUUUAUGCAUGCCAUAAUAUGCUUGUCCUUUUUUGUAGGAUGUACUGUUUGUGAAUCCUUGAUACACGGUGCUUGUGUUCUGUAGUUUUUGUAUUAUAUACAAGGCACAAACUGCCCAUCAUAUUUCUUUUUUUGCGAAAAUAAACUCUGUUGAUUACUCCCUG
rnacentral:lncRNA from 1 species